AGAUGAGGAAAUGGAAGCAUGGAGAGAUAUAAUCACAUAUCCAAGUUUACUCAGUAAUAAAAGCAGAGUUGGACAUUGAAGCCAGUAUUUCAUGCUCAGUACCACUUUUAAAUAUUGCCCUUCUAACGUUGAGUGCCGUCUACUGACAAGAGAUGGCCUAAAUCCAGUGAGAAGUUCAAGGGUCAGAGAGCCUAUUGACUCAGUCCAUGAAGUUCAGCCUCCUCAGGCACAGAAUACGAUGGAAAAAGAGUUCAACCAUGUAUCAUGUCUAUGACAGAAGUAAAACAAUAUCAGGAUGCAAAGUGGAAAAGUGUGUCAAUCAUUUGCGCACCAGAUUUAUGUUCACAAUCAAAUUAUACUAUGCCUCACCUAUUCUCAAAAUUGUGAAUAAAAUACAGUUGACAAGGG